GGCUGGGUGGCGGACGCGCGCACGGCGGCGGCGGCUGAGGGGACUCGGGCCGGGCCGCGGCCCUGAGGGAGCGGUGGAGCUGCGGGCGCAUCCCGGGAGCUGCGGGCGCUCCCGGGCCGCGGCGGCCACUGCCAGGCCCGUGCCUGUGCUCCAGUCCGGCCCCGGCGGCCCGAGCCCUCGGGCCCGCUCCCAGCGGCCUGCAGCCCUCGGUCCGGCGGCCUGAGCCGUCGGUCCCGCCCGCUCCUCAGCGCCGACGCUGCGCCGCCGUUGGUCCCGGCCAGCGGCACGGGUUUGAGGUGGACAACUGAUGGAACAUUCCACUAGGAAGGAUAAAACUGUUCUUUCAAGGUAGUUUGCACAGAUUAGACUGAGACCUACACGGAAAAAUAUCUCAACCAACAGUGACUGGGAACGCUUGAGAACUCCUGAAUGAUUGCUUGAGGCCUUGGAGGAAAACAUUAAGACUUUACAUUUCACAGUCAGCUCUGUUAAGCAGCUAUGGAAAUAGAAAAGGAACACAUUUAUAUUACCCCAACAG